GACGAACGCUGGCGGCGUGCCUAAUACAUGCAAGUCGAGCGAAGUUUUUCUGGUGCUUGCACUAGAAAAACUUAGCGGCGAACGGGUGAGUAACACGUAAAGAACCUGCCUCAUAGACUGGGACAACUAUUGGAAACGAUAGCUAAUACCGGAUAACAGUAUUUCUCGCAUGAGAGAUAUUUAAAAGUUGGUUAUGCUAACACUAUGAGAUGGCUUUGCGGUGCAUUAGCUAGUUGGCGGGGUAAAGGCCCACCAAGGCGACGAUGCAUAGCCGACCUGAGAGGGUGAUCGGCCACACUGGGACUGAGACACGGCCCAGACUCCUACGGGAGGCAGCAGUAGGGAAUCUUCCGCAAAGGGCGAAAGCCUGACGGAGCAACGCCGCGUGAGUGAAGAAGGAUUUCGGUUCGUAAAGCUCUGUUGUUAGGGAAGAAUGGAUAUGUAGUAACUAUACAUGUAAGAGACGGUACCUAACCAGAAAGCCACGGCUAACUACGUG
rnacentral:rRNA from 1 species